CUUAUGAUAAAGCUGUGGCUUCCUUUAAGAUAAGCCAAAAGGCACAGCCAGAAGAAAACCUGCCAAGAAGAAUAAAAGCCAAAAGAAGAAUGCCACAACUCCCUUGAAACAGUGGAAAGUUGGUGACAAGUGUUCUGCUGUUUGGUCAGAGGACGGCUGCAUUUACCCAGCUACUAUUACGUCCAUUGACUUUAAGAGAGAAACCUGUGUCGUGGUUUAUACUGGAUAUGGAAACAGAGAGGAGCAAAACUUAUCUGACCUACUUUCCCCGACCUGUGAAGUAGCUAAUAGUACAGAACAGAACACUCAGGAGAAUGAAAGUCAAGUUUCCACAGACGACAGUGAACACUCCUCCAGAUCGCUCAGAAGUAAAGCACACAGCAAGUCCAAAGCUGCUCCGUGGACCUCAUUUCUUCCUCCACCACCCCCAAUGCCAGGGUCAGGAUUAGGACCAGGAAAGAGUGAUGAUUCUGACAUUUGGGAUGAUA
rnacentral:sRNA from 1 species